rnacentral:rRNA from 1 species
CCUACGGGUGGCAGCAGUGGGGAAUAUUGCGCAAUGGGCGAAAGCCUGACGCAGCGACGCCGCGUGAGGGAUGAAGGUCUUCGGAUCGUAAACCUCUUUCAGCAGGGAAGAACGGUCACUGUGCUAAUCAUCUUUGCAUUUACUUUACCUGCAAAGUAAGCACCGGCUAACUCCGUGCCAGCAGCCGCGGGAAUACGGAGGGUGCGUGCGUUGAUCGGAAUUACUGGGCGUAAAGCGCUCGUAGUCGGGAUGUCAAGUCAAGGGUGAAAUCCCCGCGCUCCACGUGGGAACUGGCUUUGAAAAUGGGAAACUGGAGGGUGUGAGAGGAUAGUGGAAUUCCAGGUGGAGGAGUGAAAUCCGUAGAUAUCUGGAGGAACAUCAGUGGCGAAGGCGACUAUAUGGCACAGAACUGACGCUGAGGAGCGAAAGCGUGGGUAGCAAACAGGAUUAGAUACCCUGGUAGUC